rnacentral:rRNA from 1 species
ACAAUGCGGGACUAUACGUCUUGCAAUUGGAUUGAGAACAAUGUACAACUCUUAUCGAUAAGCCAUUGGAGGGCAAGUCUGGUGCCAGCAGCCGCGGUAAUUCCAGCUCCAAUAGCGUAUAUUAACGUUGUUGCAGUUAAAAAGCUCGUAGUUGAAGUGUGGGUGAUCGCUGUUGUGAGACUUCGGUCUCUCGACAGUAAGUCACCCCCUUCCAGUAUCCAGUAGUGGGUAUUCAGUUACUUACUAUUGUGUGUUGGUCAUUUACUGUGAGAAAAUUAGAGUGUUCAAAGCAGGCGUUUGCUUGAAUAGAUUAGCAUGGAAUAAUAAUUGAAGGCUUUCGUGUUCGAUUUGAUUGGUUUGUUCAUGGAAGCAAGGUUAAAAGGAACAGUUGGGGGUAUUCAUAUUCACUAGUUAGAGGUGAAAUUCUCGGAUUUAUGGAAGAUGAACAA